AUUUUUACAGUAAUUUCUUUAUCUGAUUUCAUCCUGUUUACAGAAGCUGCCGUUUGGAACAUUUCCCCCCCUGCGCCACCAUUUUUGAGAUGGCUUUUCUUUAAAUAAAUGUAUAUUAAAAAAUAGCGCAGACAACAGAGUCAGCUUCCUGCUUGCUCUUUAUUGUGAGGGAGAUAAGGUUGCUAAAUGCUGUGCUAUCUGGCUCUGGUUCGGUGCGUGACCUACAUGGAUCAAGAUGGAGAUUUAAUGAUUAAGCUUAACUCCUUUAUCUUCGGCGAGGGGGGAGGAAAGAGUGCCCAAACAAACUACUUAUGUUGCGGCAUGAUAGAAUUACAUUUCAACACAAUAAUUAACUAUCUGACACAUUCCUGCGAGGCUGCAGAUGUCACUAAUGGCUCCGAAAUGCCCCCUCUGUGUUGUCAUAACCCAGAGCUCUUCGCAGCAGCCAAAACAAGCACGUACUCUGAAGAGCAUCAAGGCUGGCAAAAUGCAUCGCAUCCCUUCUCAGCUGAUUCAUACAGCCCACAGCUUGGGAUGUUCUGGUACUCGGCAAAUGCUCCAAAGACACCUGGAAGAAGCCACCUGCGCAGGAAGCAGCGUUACUUGGUCAAAACCAUAUCCCAGGGCAUCAUAUCAAAUUAAAAUGUUUUUUUUUUCUUCUUAUCUUUUCAACGGGGAGCUUCUCCUCCUUCACCUCCCAGUGUGAAUGUGGAUGCAUGAGCAAUGAAUGGCAAUGGGAAAGGAAAUGCAGAGAAACCACACAACGAUUUACUGGGGCUUUAGCAAAAUAUUAUCAUUCUUAAUGUUUGUCGGCAUGUGGCAAUUUUCUUUGAACCAGGGAUAGUUUAAAUUCCUUCUUGCUUUGAAGACUUAAUUUUCUCCCAUAAAGAUUAUGGAGACUGCCCUGGAUAAUUUUAGGACUUAGGCACACUAUUUGCUGAGCUCAGGCAUGUUUUGGACCAUGUAUAUUUUAUUUGCCACCUGCCAGCUCGUGUUCGCAUUUUCCCAAAGUCUAGAGGUCACAGACAAAUCUUGAGCAAAGCCAUUUGCUAUGGCCCAGACCCCGCAUUACAUGUGCAUGGCCUGAGAGCCCUGCUUGCACACAGGCACGACUCGAAAUUUAUUAAACGAUCUUUCCAGGCAGAGCCAGAUCCCCAGCCUUGCAAACAGUGGCUCCGGUAAGUAACUUUGCAGACGGCCACAUGACAAACGCAGGCAUGACGUGGUGUCUGUCUCGUUUGCUUGUGGCACUCGGGGGCCACAGCCUGGGAGGAGAACAUCGGGCUGGAGGGCAAAGGGGGUGUCUGGGCACUGCACGGGGCUCAUGUGGGUCCUCUAUGGAGUGAAGCUCAUCCCAUGGCCAUGAAGCAAAAUCCUCCAAGCUUGGUGAGCCGAGGUUGGUAGGCAAGCGUGAGCCAACAGAAAUGUCUCAGUUGCUCUGAAUGCAGCCAGCCAGGAAUUCGCCCACUCUCUGAUUUGGCCAAGACAAAAUGGACAAGAAACAUUUGGAGGUGAUAUGAGAAAUCGCCACGCUCCAGCCCUGAGGACUUUUAUUAAGGAGAAGGUGGGGAUGAGGCCUGAAGAAAGCACAUCAGCAUCAAACACCCAGCUCUUUGGUUAGCAGGGGAAUGCUUUGAAAAGGACUGAUAGAUGAAACCCAAGGCAGACUAAUUCAAAAUAAAGCCUGUAGACAUAGCA
rnacentral:lncRNA from 1 species